rnacentral:rRNA from 1 species
CCCAGACUCCUACGGGAGGCAGCAGUGAGGAAUAUUGGUCAAUGGGCUUACGCCUGAACCAGCCAAGUCGCGUGAGGGAAGACUGCCCUAUGGGUUGUAAACCUCUUUUGUCAGGGAGCAACGCCGGCUACGUGUAGCCGGACUGAGAGUACCUGAAGAAAAAGCAUCGGCUAACUCCGUGCCAGCAGCCGCGGUAAUACGUAGGUGGCAAGCGUUGUCCGGAUUUACUGGGUGUAAAGGGCGUGUAGCCGGGCCGGCAAGUCAGAUGUGAAAUCCCAAGGCUCAACCGUGGAACUGCAUUUGAAACUGUUGGUCUUGAGUAUCGGAGAGGCAGGCGGAAUUCCUAGUGUAGCGGUGAAAUGCGUAGAUAUCAGGAGGAACACCGGCGGCGAAGGCGGCCUGCUGGACCGUGACUGACGUUGAGGCUCGAGAGCGUGGGGAGCAAACAGGAUUAGAUACCCCUGUA